GAGGGGAUGUGAUGGGUUGGGGUUUCGUGGUAGGGCGGGGGUGCAGAGAGGGGCCCAGAGCUUGGGUGGGGCGUGGGUGGCGGGACGGAAGUGGGGGCAAGGACCGAAUCUCCCAGUGCCCCUCCUUUCUGUCCCUAAGCGCUCCCUCCCCAGGGGCUACAGCAGAGCCCUGACUAGCAGAUGAAACAAUGUGACGGUUCAGCUCCUCAUCCGCCCUCCCCCCGCCCCCUGCGUGAUGGUUGGUAGUGAGGCCAAAGUGCUAACCCAGAGUACUGAACGCCCCCCUUCUCUCCCUGCCCCACGCCUGGGCCUACAUGGAGUGGGAAUGAAGGGAGACCCUGGGACGUGCCCGCGCGGAACACCUCUGCCCUGCUGGGAGCUGCCAGAGGAGGAGACACAAGUGCCUGACCCCUCGCUGCAGGCCCUCGUCAGGCUCCGCCCUCUCGACGUCACCGAGCCUGCGCCGAUUGGCCGACUGAACUGUCACUCCGGACACUUCCUCCUGGGCCGCAGCCGCCGAAUUAAACUUUGGAGUGGGAAAAAGAGCCACCGGCGCCCGGCGCCGGACGACCCUCCCUUCCCUCCCACCCCCCGCCACCCCACUGCCGCCGGGUCCCACCAUCCUCGAGUUCCCUCAACCUGCCAGGAUUCUCUUCUCGGAUCCCCGGGAUCCCCGCGCUCCUACCACCAGCUAACGAGAGACCUCGGAUCCAGGGACCUGAGCCUCCCUGCUCAGGCUCCUGCAGCCGGAUCCCGGGUGGGCGCCGGGCGGCGGGUCCUGGGGCUCGCCCUAUGGCCGCCGCCCCCUCCCAUCUCGCUGGGCUCCCGGGCUCUCCCGGGCCGGGGUCUCCUCCGCCCUCUGGCAGCUUGGAGCUGCAGGCGCCGCCACCGCUGCUGCCCCAUGUCCCGGCGCCGGGCUCGGGGGUGUCCUUCCACAUCCAGAUCGGGCUGACCCGCGAGUUCGUGCUGUUGCCCAUCGCCUCCGGGCUGGCCCGCGUGAAGCAGCUGGCUUGCUCCAUCGUUGACCAGAAGUUCCCCGAGUGUGGCUUCUAUGGCCUUUACGACAAGAUCCUGCUCUUCAAACAUGACCCCACGUCGGCCAACCUCCUGCAGUUGGUGCGCUCCGCCGGAGACAUCCAGGAGGGCGACCUGGUGGAGGUGGUACUGUCGGGUGAGAGGCCGAGACUACAUAUUGUAUCAUUCCACUUACGAGGCACAAAGACAAUUACGCUAUUUUGUUAGAAGCCAAGAGAGUGGGUACCUUUUUGGCAGCUGGAGUUGGGUGCGGGGGGCGCAGUGGUUUAAACUUCCAUUUAUCCAUCAGUAUGCUGGUGACAUGGGCGUGUACAGUUUGACAAUUCAUUGAGCUGUGCAUUUCUGAUACGUCCUUUCCUAGACCUACGUGACACACUGAUGUAAAGUUAAAAAUGUUUUGCUGCCUGUGCCUCCUCCCAAUGAAAUGCUAAAUUAAAUCAGACUCUGCAGUGUGAGAUGAAACCCGGGUACCUGUAUUUUCAGCCAAAAUCUAGUCCACCCACUGGCCAUUCCCAUUUGAUGGAUGGGCAAGCUCUCAGCACUUAGAGGACUCUUUAGCCCUUGGUUCCUUCAGGAGGGUGGGGUAGGGGGGUGGGAGGUG